GGCCGCGGUAUUUUGACCGUGCAAAGGUAGCGUAAUCACCUGUCUUUUAAAUAAAGACCUGUAUGAAUGGCAAGACGAGGGUUUUACUGUCUCCUCCCCCCAGUCAAUGAAAUUGAUCUACCCGUGCAGAAGCGGGUAUAAAAACAUAAGACGAGAAGACCCUAUGGAGCUUUAGGCAUAUAUCAAAUAUGUAAAAAACCAAAUUUUUCCAAAUAGGCCUAAAAAAUGAGAAAAACAAGUAUUAAUGAUUAAGUGCCUUCGGUUGGGGCGACCACGGGGAAAAAUAAAACCCCCACAUGGAAUGGGAAAAAUAACCCUAAGCCAAGAAAAACACUUCUAAGCAACAAAAUUUUUGACCAAUAAACGACCCAGGGACACCAUCCCUGAGCAAUGAACCAAGUUACCCUAGGGAUAACAGCGCAAUCCUUUCCCAGAGCCCAUAUCAACGAAAGGGUUUACGACCUCGAUGUUGGAUCAGGGCAUCCUAACGGUGCAGCCGCUGUAAGGGU
rnacentral:rRNA from 1 species